rnacentral:rRNA from 1 species
GAUGAACGCUAGCUACAGGCUUAACACAUGCAAGUCGAGGGACCGGCGCACGGGUGAGUAACACGUAUCCAACCUGCCCUUUACUCGGGGAUAGCCUUUCGAAAGAAAGAUUAAUACCCGAUAUAAAGGAUGGGGAUGCGGUCCAUUAGGUUGUUGGUGAGGUAACGGCCCACCAAGCCUUCGAUGGAUAGGGGUUCUGAGAGGAAGGUCCCCCACAGUGUAACUGAGGCACGUGUCAAAAGCCGACGGGAGGCAGGAGUGAGGAAUAAUGGUCAAUGGGCGCUUGACUGAACCAGCCAAGUAGCGUGAAGGAUGAAGGCUUAUGGGUCGUAAACUUCUUUUAUAUAAGAAUAUGUAUUAUAUGAAUAAGGAUCGGCUAACUCCGUGCCAGCAGCCGCGGUAAUAC